rnacentral:rRNA from 1 species
CGUAGGGCGCGAGCGUUGUCCGGAAUUACUGGGCGUAAAGAGCUCGUAGGUGGUUUGUCGCGUUGUUCGUGAAAUCUCACGGCUUAACUGUGAGCGUGCGGGCGAUACGGGCAGACUUGAGUACUGCAGGGGAGACUGGAAUUCCUGGUGUAGCGGUGGAAUGCGCAGAUAUCAGGAGGAACACCGGUGGCGAAGGCGGGUCUCUGGGCAGUAACUGACGCUGAGGAGCGAAAGCGUGGGGAGCGAACAGGAUUAGAUACCCUGGUAGUCCACGCCGUAAACGGUGGGUACUAGGUGUGGGUUUCCUUCCCUGGGAUCCGUGCCGUAGCUAACGCAUUAAGUACCCCGCCUGGGGAGUACGGCCGCAAGGCUAAAACUCAAAGAAAUUGACGGGGGCCCGCACAAGCGGCGGAGCAUGUGGAUUAAUUCGAUGCAACGCGAAGAACCUUACCUGGGUUUGACAUGCGCAGGACGCCGGCAGAGAUGUCGGUUCCCUUGUGGCCUGUGUGCAGGUGGUGCAUGGCUGUCGUCAGCUCGUGUCGUGAGAUGUUGGGUUAAGUCCCGCAAGGAGCGCAACCUUGUCUCAUGUUG